GAUGAAGAACGUAGCAAAAUGCGAUAAGUAAUGUGAAUUGCAGAAUUCAGUGAAUCAUCGAAUCUUUGAACGCACAUUGCGCCCGCUGGUAUUCUGGCGGGCAUGCCUGUCUGAGCGUCAUUUCAACCCUCGCCCCCGGCUUUUGCUGGGAGCGGUGUUGGGGAUCGGCCGCCCGUCACUGGGAGGCCGGCCCCGAAAUAGAGUGGCGACCACGCCGUGUGCUCCUCUGCGUAGUAGUAAAUCACCUCGCAGGCGGACAGCGGUGCGGCCUGCCGUAAAACCCCCAACUCUUUCUGGUUGACCUCAGAUCAGGUAGGAAUACCCGCUGAACUUAAGCAUAUCAAUAAGCGGAGGA
rnacentral:misc_RNA from 1 species